GCAUCGAUGAAGAACGUAGCGAAAUGCGAUACGUGGUGUGAAUUGCAGAAUCCCGUGAACCAUCGAGUCUUUGAACGCAAGUUGCGCCCGAGGGACCCUCCCGAGGGCACGCCUGCCUCAAGGGCGUUA
rnacentral:rRNA from 1 species